UACGUAGGGUCCAAGCGUUGUCCGGAUUUAUUGGGCGUAAAGAGCUCGUAGGCGGCUUAGUAAGUCGGAUGUGAAAACUCGGGGCUCAACCCCGAGACGCCAUCCGAUACUGCUGUGGCUUGAGUCUGGUAGGGGAACACGGAAUUCCUGGUGUAGCGGUGAAAUGCGUAGAUAUCAGGAGGAAUACCGAUGGCGAAAGCGGCUCUCUGGACGGUUACUGACGCUGAGGCGCGAAAGCGUGGGGAGCAAACAGG
rnacentral:rRNA from 1 species